ensembl:lncRNA
AUACUGCCUACCUAGGCAGCUCACUAGUAAUACAGCUGAUAUGUGUCUCAUAAUACACAGGGCAAAUGGACCUUUUGAAGGGCACCUGCAGGAGUCAGUCAUCUAUAGCUGCCACAGAUGGAAGGUAAAAUCUCGUUCAUCAUGAUAUUAAUGGCACCAUGACUCCAUAAUACAAUCAUAAACACCUUCUGAUCGUGAUAAAGUGUGAUGCAGGGGUUUGUUUGUUUGUGUCACGCUGGCCAGGGUUAAAUACAGAACAGCUGUGGCCGAGGUCACACCCCAUCGAGUCUUUGAUGCGUCUUCUCUCAUUGGAGCGCUGCAGACUGUCCAUCUGAUUUAACCUUUCCAGAAGUACCUGAUCCCGGAGAAAUAGCCGUAAAGCCCAGCACCACCGGCUCUAGACUGUGGGAACGGCACUGUUGACUCUUCCCCCAUGAAAACGGCUUGCGAUUACAGAGAGAAGGAUAAGCAGAUGUAAAUUAGACGGAAACCCAGCCGCCCAUCACUGCGCAGUGCUUUAUAAUCAAGCUCAUCAGACUUUGGAUGGGAGGUUACGCCUCAGAGACUGAAGUGAAAAGGCCUGUCCUCUGAUUUAUGACCUUCUGCUGCCAUCGGAUCUUCUCCUGCACCCGGACGCUUUUUGUGAAGCACCGAAACAGACCCUCCCAGAAACCCCCAGGAGUUUUAAGUUUCCAAAGCCCAUGGAAGUGCCUUCUCCCUCCCGCCUGUUUACGCCGAUGGAGGGACAGAUCAUUCUGACUCAUGCACAGCUCUGGCUUAUCAGAGCUGCUGGCCCUGAAGAAUUAGGCCAGAUUUGCCACACUUCACAACCCCGAUGCCCAUCCCCUCACGGUGCACGAGGGCGAUUGUGAACAGAGUCUCAUUAUACCACCGUGGCACAAUGAGAGUGGAAAUCUUGGCACGCUUUGUGUUUACAAACCCAGCAGGCUUUUCAGACAGAGUUCAGAUGUGUG